GUAGUAGUCCCUCCGUCCCAAAAUUCUUGUCUUACAUUUGUUUAGAUACAGAUGUAUCUAACACUAAAAUAUAACUAGAUAUAUCCGUAUUUAGAAAAAUUUAAGACAAGAAUUUUGGGACGGAGGGAGUACAAA
rnacentral:pre_miRNA from 1 species